GCAUGAGCCAUCGUGCUUUUGUUGCCAAGAUGCCCAUGCAAUGAAAUUGAACAGCUGGUGAGGCACUACCUCAAAGGCCCUCUCCAGGGUGAGGUCACUUGCAGUGGGAGGCCAUGGAAGUUUUUCAGACGAUUUGGCAGCGUUUUGGAGGAUCUCUUUGAGGGUUCAUAUCUCCAUCACUAUCCUCAGAUGAGGAUGAAGAGGACAUGGCGAUAUCCUGGAGAAUCUCCUCAGGAGAUAUAUUGUCUACAUAAACAAGGUAUGUUUUGGAGGCUUUGUGGAAUUUUAGAAAAGGAUGGGACUUAUGAAGCCUCUGUUUCAACAGGUGAUCCUUAUACGCUCCUAUGUCUUCUCCCUCUGUUUCUUUCACAGUGUCUUUGAAAAGGGUAUUGAGCCUUGCCAAGCGAAACACCUCUCGCCUUUUUAUAAGCCUCUCCUCAAUGACUGUCUCACAAAAUGUUUUGUAGCCAAUUUCAUAGAGCCUGCUCUCUGUAUUCUUUGUUUUUAAGUACAGGUACCUAGUGUAAUCCCUGAAACAAGUGAAGUGGUAACGUGCUUCGCUGGCAACCAAGUCCCUGUCUCUAAUAUGAAGGAGGAGAGCCUCAUCUUUUCUGCCUUCAGCGGCAAGAACCAGUUUCCCAGCAUGCAGUGUUUCACACAACGAAAGUUUCUCCUUUAACCUUUUCUUGCUGUGUUUUUCCUGCUUGUAUUUGUUACUUCUGCAGAUAAUGCACUGCACAGGUAGUAGGUGUGGUGCUCGUUGUGAUGUAGAAAUACCACUGGUGUGUGACCUUAGAGCCCGAGUUUUUGAUGGACCUUCCUCACCAUCCUCUAGCUCUGCCUCUACCUCUAUCCCUACACAUUAAACAGAAGACAACAGAUUUAGGUUGUGUAGCCUACUCUCAACAAUAGUGCAUUAAUUGACAGAUACUAGCUGUUGGAUCAAAUUGUGUGGGCAGUGCUUAUGGGAAACUAAAAUAGUGUUCCUCUUCAUUUUAACAUAAUCCACU